CUACUUCAAAAGUACAUAUACGAAAAUUGGAACAAUACUGAGAAGAUUAGCAUGGCCCCUGCGCAAGGAUCACACCCAAAAUCGUGAAGCUUUCCACUUUUCU